rnacentral:rRNA from 1 species
GGAAUAUUGGACAAUGGGCGCAAGCCUGAUCCAGCCAUACCGCGUGGGUGAAGAAGGCCUUCGGGUUGUAAAGCCCUUUUGUUGGGAAAGAAAUCCAGCCGGCUAAUACCUGGUUGGGAUGACGGUACCCAAAGAAUAAGCACCGGCUAACUUCGUGCCAGCAGCCGCGGUAAUACGAAGGGUGCAAGCGUUACUCGGAAUUACUGGGCGUAAAGCGUGCGUAGGUGGUUGUUUAAGUCUGUCGUGGAAGCCCUGGGCUCAACCUGGGAAUUGCGAUGGAUACUGGGCGACUAGAGUGUGGUAGAGGACAGUGGAAUUUCCGGUGUAGCAGUGAAAUGCGUGGAGAUCGGAAGGAACAUCUGUGGCGAAGGCGACUGUCUGGGCCAACACUGACACUGAGGCACGAAAGCGUGGGGAGCAAACAGGAUUAGAUACCCUGG